rnacentral:rRNA from 4 species
AUUGCCCUAGUAACGGCGAGUGAAGCGGCAACAGCUCAAAUUUGAAAUCUGGCCUUCGGGUCCGAGUUGUAAUUUGUAGAGGAUGCUUUUGGUGAGGUGCCUUCCGAGUUCCCUGGAACGGGACGCCAUAGAGGGUGAGAGCCCCGUCUGGUUGGACACCGAUCCUCUGUAAAGCUCCUUCGACGAGUCGAGUAGUUUGGGAAUGCUGCUCUAAAUGGGAGGUAUAUGUCUUCUAAAGCUAAAUAUUGGCCAGAGACCGAUAGCGCACAAGUAGAGUGAUCGAAAGAUGAAAAGCACUUUGAAAAGAGAGUUAAAAAGUACGUGAAAUUGUUGAAAGGGAAGCGCUCAUGACCAGACUUGGGCUUGGUUGAUCAUCCAGGGUUCUCCCUGGUGCACUCUUCCAGUUCAGGCCAGCAUCAGUUCGCUGUGGGGGAUAAAGGCUUUGGGAAUGUGGCUCCCUCGGGAGUGUUAUAGCCCAUUGUGUAAUACCCUGUGGUGGACUGAGGUUCGCGCAUUCGCAAGGAUGCUGGCGUAAUGGUCAUCAGCGACCCGUCUUGAAACACGGACCAAGGAGUCGUCUUCGUAUGCGAGUGUUCGGGUGUUAAACCCCUACGCGUAAUGAAAGUGAACGCAGGUGAGAGCUUCGGCGCAUCAUCGACCGAUCCUGAUGUUCUCGGAUGGAUUUGAGUAAGAGCAUACGGGGCCGGACCCGAAAGAAGGUGAACUAUGCCUGUAUAGGGUGAAGCCAGAGGAAACUCUGGUGGAGGCUCGCAGCGGUUCUGACGUGCAAAUCGAUCGUCAAAUAUGGGCAUGGGGGCGAAAGACUAAU